UCCAGAAAUCAAAGCCUGAUGCAGAAGGAA
rnacentral:piRNA from 1 species